rnacentral:rRNA from 1 species
AGAACGAACGCUGGCGGCACGCCUAACACAUGCAAGUCGAGCGCCCAGCAAUGGGAGCGGCGGACGGGUGAGGAACACGUGGGAAUAUGCCUUUCGGUUCGGCACAACUGCGGGAAACUGCAGCUAAUUCCGGAUACGCCCUUACGGGGAAAGAUUUAUCGCCGAAAGAUUAGCCCGCGUCUGAUUAGCUAGUUGGUGAGGUAAUGGCUCACCAAGGCUUCGAUCAGUAGCUGGUUUGAGAGAACGACCAGCCACACUGGGACUGAGACACGGCCCAGACUCCUACGGGAGGCAGCAGUGGGGAAUCUUGGACAAUGGAGGAAACUCUGAUCCAGCGAUGCCGCGUGAGUGAUGAAGGCCUUCGGGUUGUAAACUCUUUACCAGGGAAGAUAAUGACUGUACCUGGAGAAUAAGCUCCGGCUAACUUCGUGCAGCAGCCGC